UUUGGGGGAUGUCUCUGAGCUACCACUAUUCAUUAGGAGAGAGAUGAAAUACUAUGGAUAAAUCACCUCACAUCACAGCUUGGUGUGUGAAGCCAAGAUGAGAUCAUCCACAAACUACAAGAAGGUGAUAUUCAGGUGCUGUUGGACAUACUCAAGUUUCCACAUACUUUUCUGGAGCACCGCCACAUGCCUAUGGACAUACAGGCUGUCUAGACAGCACAGACAGCAAGUUGCUCCAGACCCCUCUCUCUGCAAGGUCACUAUUAGAGGUCCCUGAAUCCUGAUUGGAGGAGUUUGAUGAAGACAUACCAUUUAGGACUGAGUGUUCCAAAAGUCUCUUCUGUGUAUAUUGUUCAAUAUAAAUGUGCUAGUCUUGAUUCUGCCAGA